GCCAGUGCAUUCCUAACUCCCCUUGCACUAAGGCUGACUGAGGCUGUGGGAAGACAUAUAACUCUUGUGCUCUGUUUCUUUCUUAAAAGUCCUGUGGUGUUGCAUUCAGGUACUUUGUCCUGGUUCCACCUGCAUGGGCUCUGAGUCUGGGAAAAUCCCUGGAUAUAUCUGCUGGUCUAGGCCCUAUAAAGGCAGCUGUGUCCUGAGUGUGAAAGGCUAGCAUGCAGAGGAUAACGUUUAACGUGGAGUGUAGGUGCUGGAAAGGCUGGAUUGAGAAUGCCGUAUCUGGGCAAAGUCAGCGGUGGAUCGCAGCCCUGGAACUAUUACUGCAAAGGAAGGAUGCGAGUCUCAGCCCCGAUCAAACGGGUUCAGAGACCGCUGAAGUGCGGCUCUUGAGUCGGGGGAUGUAGUAACCUUUCCUGCCAAUCAAGAUGUGAUGAGGACAACACCCUAACUGGCGGGCACCUGUUGCACCGAAGAGCAACUUCAAGGAGACAGUCAUUCUGCAUCACAUUUUAGGACUGCUAAUCCCUGCAAUGCGAUUUUGAUUUAUUUAUAAAAGAACGCUUAAUCAGUUUCUUUGACAGAAUCCCAAAGAUACUGCACUGUUACACAGAAUGAGGAUGCCCAGCCUCCAGGAGAAUUUCUUUGUCGCUAAUUGUGUAGAACAGUUAAAUACUGUAUGUAAAAUAAUGUGAUAUCUGUAUAAUGUGAAAUAAUGUAUAAUGUGAAAGCAAUUGUAAGUCGCCCUGGAUAAGGGCGUCUGCUAAGAAAUAAAUAAUAAUAAUAAUAAUAAUAAUAAUAAUAAUAAUAAUAAUAAUAAUAAUAAUAAUAAUAAUAAUAGUAUGCGUGCAAAUGCCUUGAGAUAAUAAAUAAACGCAUACGUCCAUAAAUACACUUUUGAGUUGUAUUUCUGGUCAAACUCAAUUGUAACUUGUGAUUUGCACCUGCACACAACGAAAUAUGGGACAGGUAAGGUACAACAAGGGCAGAAAUAUGGCAAUCGGUCAUUGCAUUUGAUUGUAAAUAAGGAGAGUUCACACGCUGAUCGAGUGACUGAAGAGAACAAGCGAGUCAUUUUAAUCAGGUGGUUAUCUCCUCAUCGUGGAGAUCAGAGCUCUAUCACUCCUGGGCUCGUCAUUGUGUCCCCCUCCUGGAAAUGACAGUUCCCUCAGAAACGUGAAUCAGGUCCCUGGAUGAGAUUUCACUGUCUACUGCACUAAAAUUCCACUAUUACCAUGCGCAGUCAAACGAGCCCUGUGUGUGUCCUGGGCAUGUAGGCUGUAACGAUGUAGUAUCAUUUUUCACUUUCUGCAUUAAAAUAACGUGCAAUGCCACUUUCACCUUGCUACAGAAAUAUUGACGACGCAGAAUACGGUUAUACAAAAUACGGUUUUAUCAACUCAAUGUUAAGGAAAUGUACGUAAAAAUACGUUGUUGUUUUUCAUUUUACAGUGUAUGGAAUAAAUUCUAUUGUUGAAAUUGU